rnacentral:rRNA from 1 species
UACGUAGGGGGCAGGCGUUAAUCGGAAUUACUGGGCGUAAAGCGUGCGCAGGCGGCUUCCUAAGUCAGAUGUGAAAUCCCCGGGCUUAACCUGGGAACUGCGUUUGAAACUGGGAGGCUGGAGUGCGGCAGAGGGGGGUGGAAUUCCACGUGUAGCAGUGAAAUGCGUAGAUAUGUGGAGGAACACCGAUGGCGAAGGCAGCCCCCUGGGCCUGCACUGACGCUCAUGCACGAAAGCGUGGGGAGCAAACAGG